rfam:Chlorocebus sabaeus isolate 1994-021 chromosome 22, whole genome shotgun sequence.
GCCGGGCGCGGUGGCUCACACCUGUAAUCCGAGCACUUUGGGAGGCCAAAGUGUGUGGUUCACAAGGUCAGGAUACCGAGACCACCCUGGUUAACAGGGUGAAUCCCCGUCUCUACUAAAAAUACAAAAAAUUAGCCAGGCGUAGUGGUGGGCNNNNNNNNNNGCCCACCACUACGCCUGGCUAAUUUUUUGUAUUUUUAGUAGAGACGGGGAUUCACCCUGUUAACCAGGGUGGUCUCGGUAUCCUGACCUUGUGAACCACACACUUUGG